rfam:Clostridium aceticum strain DSM 1496, complete genome.
ACAAUGAAGGUCUGUGGUUGAAAGUCCAUGCCAGUCGCAGGCAAAGGGACCCACGUAAGAUAGUAAAAAAGUUACUAGCGAUCAUGGUGCGGCUUAGAUGUUAGACCUGCCGGUGAUUUCACCGAGAGAAGUAGUAGUGAAGGUAACCCCUGGGCGAACCUUCCAGCAGGCGGGUGUGGGGGCAAAGACCAGGUCAGCUUCUUUUGU